rnacentral:rRNA from 1 species
UAGCCUCUGGUCGAUAGAGCAAAGUAGGUAAGGGAAGUCGGCAAAGUAGAUCCGUAACUUCGGGAUAAGGAUUGGCUCUAAGGGUUGGGUGCAUCGGGCCUUGGCUGGAAGAAUUUGGACCUGGCUGGAACUGAUCUGGGCAACUGGGUUGGAUCUGGCCGGGACUGAGUUUGGAAGGCUUAGGCUGCCUUCGGGCGUCUGGUGUACAAUUAACAACCAACUUAGAACUGGUACGGACAAGGGGAAUCCGACUGUUUAAUUAAAACAAAGUGUUGUGAUGGCCUCAGCAGGUGUUGACACAACUUGAUUUCUGCCCAGUGCUCUGAAUGUCAAAGUGAUGAAAUUCAAACAAGCGCGGGUAAACGGCGGGAGUAACUAGGACUCUCUUAAGG